AGGCCUAUGUCCAGCAGUGGACUGCGAUAGGCUGAAUGGUAUAUUUAUUACUUUAUCUGUAAAUUAUUAGGUAUUUGUAAACUGGCGUUGAAAUCGGAAAUAUAAUAAUUUUGAUGUAAACGA